CCUACGGGCGGCAGCAGUGAGGAAUAUUGGUCAAUGGACGGAAGUCUGAACCAGCCAUGCCGCGUGCAGGAAGACGGCUCUAUGAGUUGUAAACUGCUUUUGUACAAGGGUAAACCUGAAUACGUGUAUUCAGCUGAAAGUACUGUACGAAUAAGGAUCGGCUAACUCCGUGCCAGCAGCCGCGGUAAUACGGAGGAUCCAAGCGUUAUCCGGAUUUAUUGGGUUUAAAGGGUGCGUAGGCGGAUUGAUAAGUUAGAGGUGAAAUGUCCGAGCUUAACUCGGGAACUGCCUCUAAUACUGUUGAUCUAGAGAGUAGAUGCGGUAGGCGGAAUGUAUGGUGUAGCGGGGAAAUGCUUAGAGAUCAUACAGAACACCGAUUGCGAAGGCAGCUUACCAAUCUAUAUCUGACGUUGAGGCACGAAAGCGUGGGGAGCAAACAGGAUUAGAUACCCGAGUAGUG
rnacentral:rRNA from 1 species